CUUCGUUUCGGUUCGGUUUGUCUUUUGGGGUUCUUCUCGCCUUCGAAAGCGCCGUCCUUCUUCAGUGUUUUCACAUUUUCACGUACAGUUCAAUCGUGAGGUUCAGCCUAGUGAGUUCUGUGUAGUUAAGUCGGAAUAUUUCGUAUAGUUCUCGUCGACUGUCGUCUGACAUUUGUUCUUCUAUUCCGAAACGCUGCAUUGAAAUACAAAAAUAAUACAAACUAGAAUAUUCAACAAAACAAAAAACCAAGGAAACGAAAAACCAAUUAAAAUUUUAACAAAAUAAUAACUCGCUUCAAAAUAUAUUGCAAAUAUAUCAACAAAUUUAAUCAAAUCAAAUUCACCAACAAAUCGAAAACAAACUCUAUUAAUUCGUUUACUCAAAAAUCCAAAAACACAAAACAACCAAAAACCGAUUCAAAUAUAUAACUGUUAAAUCUAAACGAGCAGGCGAUCUACUGGGAAGCGAGAGAGGAAGGGCAUCAGCAGCAGCACUACUACACGCGUGUGUGUUUAAAUACUGGAAAAUACAGAUAAGAUAAAUUAUUAUAGACACUCACGAGUACAUUUAGAGCAGACCAAACCCAGAGACAGACAACCGCAGAGAAUCAAAAGCACUCCAAGAGCAAAUCAAUAAAACAAAAACAAAACCCAAACAACAACAAAAAAAACAACAACAGAAACAACAGAAACAAAGAGAAAAAGCAACUCAAAAAACAAAAUUUUAAAAAAAGUGUUACCAAAAAAAACUUAAAAAAAAAAGAAAAUUAUUUAAAAGACAAAACCCGUACUCGUAACGGUGCAGACAACUGAAAAUACCCAGUGAAAAUUCAGAAAAGCGUUGACCAUUUUUUCUCGCAAAGGCGCCACGUCCAAGAGCAAAUCGUUCCAUAUGGUUCAUAUUAUUGAAUUGGUCGGCCAGCCGAAGGUUGAGUUUGCUCAACAAGUUACUAUGAACCGUGCUUUACAGCUGAAGCCAGCUGAAAAUGAAAGUCGCAGCGGCUGCGCAUUCGUCAAAUUCGGAACGCAACAGGAGGCUCAGUCAGCAAUAGCCAAUCUACACGGAAGUCAAACUAUGCCGGGUGCAUCCUCCAGCCUGGUCGUCAAAUACGCCGACACAGAGAAGGAACGACAAAUCAGGCGCAUGCAACAAAUGGCCGGUCAUAUGAACCUGCUGAAUCCGUUUGUCUUUAAUCAGUUCAGCCCGUACGGCGCCUACGCUCAGCAACAGCAGCAAGCCGCUCUGAUGGCUGCCGCUGCCACCGCGCCUGGCUCGGCAGCCGCCUACAUGAACCCCAUGGCCGCCCUGGCAACGCAAAUACCUCAUGGCUUGAACGGCACCGGACAGCCGCCCUCUUUGCCCUCGCCGACCAUGCCCAACUUCAGCAUGGGCGCCAACACGCCCAACGGCCAGCCCGGUGGAGCUGCCGCGGCUGCAGCAGCUGCUGCGGCGGACGGGGUCUUCACGAACGGCAUUCCACAAACGGCAUUCCCAGGACAUCCGCUGCAUUUGACUAUACCACCACAAGGUCUGCCAAACGGCGAUGCUGCUACUCUGCAACAUGCCUUCCCUGGGCUGCCACCGUUUCCAGGAGUUGCCUUCCCCGCCGUCUAUGGACAGUUUCCACAAGCUUUACCACCUCCCCUAGCGGCGGUUGCACCCACUCAGCGUGAAGGAUGCUCGAUAUCCGGUCCAGAGGGCUGCAAUCUCUUCAUCUACCAUUUGCCCCAAGAGUUUGGCGAUGCGGAGUUAAUGCAAAUGUUCCUGCCCUUUGGCAAUGUGAUCAGCUCCAAGGUCUUCAUCGAUCGUGCUACAAACCAGAGCAAAUGCUUCGGUUUCGUGUCCUUCGAUAAUCCAGCCAGCGCUCAAGCGGCCAUUCAGGCCAUGAAUGGCUUCCAGAUUGGCAUGAAAAGACUGAAAGUUCAAUUGAAGCGGCCAAAGGAUGCCAGUCGACCCUAUUAACAAUCGGAGUUCCUUAAGUGUAAUUCGCAACAACUACAACUACUUCCUGGAGCACCAACAACAGGAGUAGUCGCAGGAGCAGCCAUGCCACAAACUACAACACAAUUUGCAACAGCAGCAGCAGCAGCAGCAACAGCAUCCACAGCAACAGCAACAGCCACAGCAACAACCACAGUGCACCACUAUAGUCACAGAAGCAGCUUUAGGCCACCAUUUCCCAAUGACAACUCCACUCAUAUGCCGGUAUCAAUUCGCCAGCUGGCGCGAAAUGGUGACCUACUGCUAUCGCUAUAUAGUACCCCGCCAGAAACACUUCCUCCCCAGCCCCAAAAAGCAACCAACAACAGCAACAUCAGCAAGGACAACAACAACAGCACCAACCAACAACAACAGCACCAACAAACACCCACCAGCAGCACCACACCAAACAACAAUAGCAAGCACUGCAGGCAGCAGAAUGGACCGAUUCCCAUCCACAUCCAACUCAACCGGACAUGGCAUCCAAUAGCAACCAGAAGGAACUAUCCAAAGUGGAAUAAGUCGAAAAACUGUUCAAGUGGCAGCAACAAAAGCGAAAGACCUAAAGCCACCAGGACCCCACAAACAGCAACCAUGACAACUGCGACAACAAUAACGAGCGACUACUGAAAGGAUGGUCUUCACCAUGCUAAGUGAAAUGAUUAUAAAAAUUAAACACAUGCAAAAUCGGUGUGUAAAAAAACCUAAAAUAAUAGUAAACAACCAAA
rnacentral:misc_RNA from 1 species